CGGGGGGAGCAAGCGUUGUUCGGAUUUACUGGGCGUAAAGGGCGCGUAGGCGGCGCAACAAGUCACUUGUGAAAUCUCCGGGCUUAACCCGGAGCGGCCAAGUGAUACUGUCGUGCUAGAGAGCGGAAGGGGCUACUGGAAUUCUCGGUGUAGCGGUGAAAUGCGUAGAUAUCGAGAGGAACACCUGCGGCGAAGGCGGGUAGCUGGGCCGACACUGACGCUGAUGCGCGAAAGCCAGGGGAGCGAACGGGAUUAGAUACCCCGGUAGUCCUGGCCUUAAACGAUGGAUACUUGGUGUCCGGGGUUACAUAGUCCCCGGGUGCCGGCGCUAACGCAUUAAGUAUCCCGCCUGGGGAGUACGGUCGCAAGACUG
rnacentral:rRNA from 1 species